UACAGAGGGUGCGAGCGUUAAUCGGAAUUACUGGGCGUAAAGCGCGCGUAGGCGGCUUUGCAAGUCGGGUGUGAAAUCCCCAGGCUUAACCUGGGAACUGCAUUCGAGACUGCAUUGCUAGAGUAUGGGAGAGGGAAGUGGAAUUUCCGGUGUAGCGGUGAAAUGCGUAGAUAUCUGGAGGAACACCGGUGGCGAAAGCGGCUCACUGGACCUGAUCUGACACUGAGGCGCGAAAGCCAGGGGAGCAAACGGG
rnacentral:rRNA from 1 species